CCUACGGGAGGCAACAGUGAGGAAUAUUGGUCAAUGGACGAGAGUCUGAACCAGCCAAGUAGCGUGAAGGAUGACUGCCCUAUGGGUUGUAAACUUCUUUUAUAUGGGAAUAAAACGUUCCACGUGUGGGAUUUUGUAUGUACCAUAUGAAUAAGGAUCGGCUAACUCCGUGCCAGCAGCCGCGGUAAUACGGAGGAUCCGAGCGUUAUCCGGAUUUAGUGGGGUUAAAAGGAGCGUAGGUGGGUUGUUAAGGCAGGUGUGAAAGUUUGCGGCUCAACCGUAAAAUUGCAGUUGAAACUGGCAGUCUUGAGUACAGUAGAGGUAGGCGGAAUUCGUGGUGUAGCGGUGAAAUGCUUAGAUAUCACGAAGAACUCCGAUUGCGAAGGCAGUUCACUGGACUGCAACUGACACUGAGGCUCGAAAGUGUGGGUAUCAAACAGGAUUAGAUACCCCUGUAGUC
rnacentral:rRNA from 1 species